rnacentral:rRNA from 1 species
AUUGAACGCUGGCGGCAUGCCUUACACAUGCAAGUCGAACGGUAACAGGUCUUCGGAUGCUGACGAGUGGCGAACGGGUGAGUAAUGCAUCGGAACGUGCCCAGUAGUGGGGGAUAGCCCGGCGAAAGCCGGAUUAAUACCGCAUACGACCUGAGGGUGAAAGGGGGGGAUCGCAAGACCUCUCGCUAUUGGAGCGGCCGAUGUCAGAUUAGCUAGUUGGUGGGGUAAAGGCCUACCAAGGCAACGAUCUGUAGUUGGUCUGAGAGGACGACCAGCCACACUGGGACUGAGACACGGCCCAGACUCCUGCGGGAGGCAGCAGUGGGGAAUUUCGGACAAUGGGCGCAAGCCUGAUCCAGCAAUGCCGCGUGCAGGAAGAAGGCCUUCGGGUUGUAAACUGCUUUUGUCAGGGAAGAAAUCUUCUGGGUUAAUACCUCGGGAGGAUGACGGUACCUGAAGAAUAAGCACCGGCUAACUACGUGCCAGCCGCCGCCGUAAGAC